rnacentral:misc_RNA from 1 species
UGCUAGUUGUGGAUGUGGAGAAAUUUGCUCAAAAGCAACUGACAGAAGCUUGUCUAGCCAUCCAGCAAUUCCUGGAAGUUCAGUAACAUCAAGCCCAUGAGUGAAGAUGGGUUUGACAGUCAUUUGGAAAUAAGGUGGCUCAGCAAAGCAUACCCUCAAACGGCCAAGGAAAGGCCAGUGGCGAAGGAACUUCACUCCAAUCAAGACCUUCCCUUCAACAUGCAUGGCUGUCAUAUGCAACUUUGCCCACAUUCCAAAUCCCAGCCUUUUCCUUAACUUGACAGCAAGUACUGCACUCAUAUCAUCUGCCGUGCAAAAGUUCAUUCCCAAUUCCAAUGCCAAGUGGUCAUCACUGGAACAUUGGCGAAGAACCCUCAUUUCUGUGAACAUUGGCGGGUUUCUUCCCAAAUACAUGUGUUGAACCACAGCCUUUUUAGCGGUCCAUGGCUUAUACUUGUCCAAGAACCAAGGUAUAAUUGGGAGUAGAAUCUUCUGCG